rnacentral:rRNA from 1 species
UGGGGAAUAUUGGACAAUGGGGGCAACCCUGAUCCAGCCAUGCCGCGUGAGUGAUGAAGGCCUUAGGGUUGUAAAGCUCUUUCACCCGGGACGAUAAUGACGGUACCGGGAGAAGAAGCCCCGGCUAACUUCGUGCCAGCAGCCGCGGUAAUACGAAGGGGGCUAGCGUUGUUCGGAAUCACUGGGCGUAAAGCGCACGUAGGCGGACCGUUAAGUCGGAGGUGAAAUCCUGGGGCUCAACCCCAGAACUGCCUUCGAUACUGGCGGUCUCGAGUCCGGAAGAGGUGAGUGGAACUGCCAGUGUAGAGGUGAAAUUCGUAGAUAUUGGCAAGAACACCAGUGGCGAAGGCGGCUCACUGGUCCGGUACUGACGCUGAGGUGCGAAAGCGUGGGGAGCAAAACAGGAUUAGAUACCCUGGUAGUCCACGCCGUAAACGAUGAAUGCCAGCCGUCGGGCAGCAUGCUGUUCGGUGGCGCAGCUAACGCUUUAAGCAUUCCGCCUGGGGGAGUACGGUCGCAAGAUUAAAACUCAAAGGAAUUGAC